rnacentral:rRNA from 1 species
GAUCCUGGCUCAGAUUGAACGCUGCGGCAUGCCUUACACAUGCAAGUCGAACGGUAACAGGUCUUCGGAUGCUGACGAGUGGCGAACGGGUGAGUAAUACAUCGGAACGUGCCCGAUCGUGGGGGAUAACGAAGCGAAAGCUUUGCUAAUACCGCAUAAGAUCUAAGGAUGAAAGCAGGGGACCGCAAGGCCUUGCGCGAACGGAGCGGCCGAUGGCAGAUUAGGUAGUUGGUGGGAUAAAAGCUUACCAAGCCGACGAUCUGUAGCUGGUCUGAGAGGACGACCAGCCACACUGGGACUGAGACACGGCCCAGACUCCUACGGGAGGCAGCAGUGGGGAAUUUUGGACAAUGGGCGCAAGCCUGAUCCAGCCAUGCCGCGUGCAGGAUGAAGGCCUUCGGGUUGUAAACUGCUUUUGUACGGAACGAAAAGACUCUGGUUAAUACCUGGGGUUCAUGACGGUACCGUAAGAAUAAGCACCGGCUAACUACGUG